UACGUAGGGGGGCAAGCGUUGUCCGGAUUUAUUGGGCGUAAAGAGCUCGUAGGUGGUUCGGUAAGUCGGAUGUGAAAUCUCCAGGCUCAACCUGGAGGGGUCAUUCGAUACUGCCGUGACUAGAGGUCGGUAGGGGAGUGUGGAAUUCCUGGUGUAGCGGUGAAAUGCGCAGAUAUCAGGAAGAACACCAAUGGCGAAAGCAGCUCUCUGGGGACGGUACUGACGCUGAGACGCGAAAGCGUGGGGAGCGAACAGG
rnacentral:rRNA from 1 species